GACAGAGGGUGCAAACGUUGUUCGGAAUUACUGGGCGUAAAGCGUGUGUAGGCGGCUUUGCAAGUCAGAUGUGAAAGCCCCGGGCUCAACCCGGGAAGUGCACUCGAUACUGCAGAGCUUGAGUGUCGGAGAGGUUGGUGGAAGUUCUCGGUGUAGAGGUGAAAUUCGUAGAUAUCGAGAGGAACACCGGCGGCGAAGGCGGCCAACUGGACGACUACUGACGCUGAGACACGAAAGCGUGGGGAGCAAACAGG
rnacentral:rRNA from 1 species